GCGGAAGGUCAUUAUUGAAUAAACCUGAUGUGACUGUUAGCUGGCUUUUCGAAGCAUGUGCUCGUCCAUCAUCUUUAUCUCUCCACCUGUGCACAUUUUGUAGUCUUGGAUACCUCUCGAGGAAACUCGGAUUUUAGGAUCGCCGUGCUGUACAAGUCGGCUUUUCUUUCAUUUCCAAGACUAUGUUUUUAUAUACACCAAAGUAUGUUUAUAGAAUGUUAUCAAUGGGAACUUGUUUCCUAUAAAAUUAUACAACUUUCAGCAACGGAUCUCUUGGCUCUCGCAUCGAUGAAGAACGCAGCGAAAUGCGAUAAGUAAUGUGAAUUGCAGAAUUCAGUGAAUCAUCGAAUCUUUGAACGCACCUUGCGCUCCUUGGUAUUCCGAGGAGCAUGCCUGUUUGAGUGUCAUUAAAUUCUCAACCUUCCAACUUUUAUUAGCUUGGUUAGGCUUGGAUGUGGGGGUUGCAGGCUUCAUCACUGAGGUCGGCUCUCCUUAAAUGCAUUAGCGGAACUUUUGUGGACCGUCUAUUGGUGUGAUAAUUAUCUACGCCGUGGAUGUGAAGCAGCUUUAUGAAGUUCUGCUUCUAACCGUCCAUUGACUUGGACAAUUUUGACAAUUUGACCUCAAAUCAGGUAGGACUACCCGCUGAACUUAAG
rnacentral:rRNA from 1 species